CAAUUGAGCUAGCCAAGUGAUGUUCAGGGGAUCAGCCUGCAUUUUUGCUUCCCAAGAGCUGUUGUGUGUACCAAAUACUUAUAAAUAAUGCCAGCUAUGGUGAUCCCCCAUCCUGCUGGGGGCCAGCUGCUCCUCCAAGUCUUCAUAUAGGAGACUGGGGUUCAGACACCUGAUGUGGUCUGCCUAAGGCCAUUCAUUAGUACGGGGACCACAGAGACUGGUUGGGUUUGGAAGGUGUGUGGGGAGAAUGGUACUUGCCAGGUUUCCUCAAUAUCUGGAGACUGCAGGAAACCCAAGAGAUGGGAGGCAUUCAGCUUGCAGUAAGAAAGAUGCUUCCUACAGUUGGAACUUCCUUAAGCAGUGACUUCCCCCUCCAACAAGAUUGCUGGCCAGCGUCUGGCUGGUCAGUGUGAGGGGUGCACAACGAGUAGCAUUAACUGAAGGCUGGACUUUCAGAGCCCCUGAAUCUGAAAGUGACUGGUCUCUGUCAGCUGUGAGCUCCGUGAGGCCAGGCACCAGUCUGCUUUGCUCACCACCUGUCUCCAACACCUGGCAAAAGAAUAGCUGCACUAGGCGUACCUGCUGCAUUCAUUAACUGGCAAAGCCUCAAGGCAAUGAGGCCCAGGAGAGAAGAUUUUGAGAGAUGAAUGGCUAACCUGCCCUUCUGACAGGGGUGGUGUUGGUGGAAGGCUGCUGGUGGAAGAAUGCUGGACUGGGUCCUCCUGAAGCCAGCCCUUGUCAAGCCCACUCCUCUGCUCACUGCAGUCCCUGCCCAUCCUUCUGAUUCCUCCCUUGGAAUGAACUCUUGUGGGGAAAGAAAAUUGAAUCCUGCCAGCUAUGGAGCAGUCAACCCGCAGGUGUGAAUUGUGCACAUGAAGGCUGGAGGAGCCAGAGACUUCCUGGGCGUCAGAGAGCAGACAGUUGCAGCUUUUCUGGCAAAGCACGUGGCAGAAGUGGGGUUCAGUCCCAACACAUACUAUGGUGAAGUGGAACGCUUAUGUUUUUUCUUUUUUAAUGGAUGUGUAGCUGAUCUACAAUAUUAGUUUCAGGUAUACAACAGAGUGAUUCAAUGUUUUAAUAGAUUAUACUCAUUUGAAGUUAUUAUAAAAUAUUGGCUAUGUUCCCUGUGCUGUGCUUUAUCUCCUUGUAUCUUAUUUACUUUAUACGUAGUAGUUUGUGCCUCUUAAUCCCCUUCCCCUAUGGUGCUUUUCCCCCCAUGCCUCUCCCCACUGGUAACCAUUAGGUUGUUCCCUGUUUCUGUCUUGUUACAUUUGUUCAUUUGUUUUAGUUUUUAUUUCAACAUAUAAGUGAAAACAUUCAGUAUUUGUCCUUCCAUGUAUGACUUCCUUCACUAAGCAUGGUACACUCCAGGUCCGUCCAUGUUGCUGCAGAUGGCAUUGUUUCAUUUGUGUGUGUGUGUGUGUGUGUGUGUGGAAUAGCUGUAGAGCAUAUCACAUGCAAUUGCAUUGCUUGUCUGCAAGUCUGUGACAGGCUGUGUCCUGGGCCCCGUCGGCAUUGGGCCUUCCAGGUAGCAGACCCCCACUCAAUAGCCAUAUUUAGGUUGACAUUCCAUUGUAUUCAUAUACUACAUAUUCUUUACCCAUUCAUAAAUGGAUUGAUGCACCUUCAGUUCAGUUUAGUUGCUCAGUCAUGUCCGACUCUUUGCCACCCCAUGGACUGUAGCAUGCCAGGCCUCCCUGUCCAUCACCAACUCCCAGAGUUCACCCAAACUCAGGCCCAUUGAGUCAGUGAUGCACCUUGGAUUGUGUGAAUAUCAUGGCUAUCUAAAUAACACUGCUAUAAACACUGGGGUAUAUGUAUCUUUUCAAAUUAGUGUUUUUGUUUUCUUCAGAUAUAUACCCGGAGACAGAAUUGUGGAAUCAUAGAGUGGUUCUAUUUUUAGUUUUUUGAGGAACCUCCAUACUGUUUUCCAUAGUGGCUGUACCAAUUUAUAUUUCCACCAGCAGUGUACUAGGGUUCACUUUUCUCCACAUCCUCACCACGUUUGUCAUUCGUUGUCUUUCUGCUAAGAGUCAUCCUGACAGGUGUGAGGUGACGUUCCAUUUUGGGUUUGAUCUGCAUUUCCUCAUGAUUAGUAAUGUUGAGCUUGUGCUCUGUAUUCAUGUGCUUGUUUGUUAUCUGUGUAUCUUCUUUGGAAAAAUGUCUAUUCAUUCUUCUGCCCAUGUGUUGAUUAGGUUGUUUUAUUUUUGAUAUUGAAUUGUAUAAACCCUUUAUAUAUUUUGGAUACUAAUCCUUUAUCAGACAUCA